rnacentral:rRNA from 1 species
UACGAAGGGGGCUAGCGUUGCUCGGAAUUACUGGGCGUAAAGGGCGCGUAGGCGCCGAUCAAGUCAGGCGUGAAAUUCCCGGGCUCAACCUGGGGGCUGCGCUUGAGACUGGUUGCUAGAGGCCGAGAGAGGGUGGUGGAAUUCCCAGUGUAGAGGUGAAAUUCGUAGAUAUUGGGAAGAACACCGGUGGCGAAGGCGGCGACCUGGGUAGAUACUGACGCUGAGGCGCGAAAGCGUGGGGAGCAACAGG